GAUGAACGCUAGCUACAGGCUUAACACAUGCAAGUCGGGGGGAAACGCCAUCGAAAGCUUGCUUUUGAUGGGCGUCGACCGGCGCACGGGUGAGUAACGCGUAUCCAACCUGCCCACCACUUGGGGAUAACCUUGCGAAAGUAAGACUAAUACCCAAUGACGUCUCUAGAAGACAUCUGAAAGAGAUUAAAGAUUUAUCGGUGAUGGAUGGGGAUGCGUCUGAUUAGCUUGUUGGCGGGGUAACGGCCCACCAAGGCGACGAUCAGUAGGGGUUCUGAGAGGAAGGUCCCCCACAUUGGAACUGAGACACGGUCCAAACUCCUACGGGAGGCAGCAGUGAGGAAUAUUGGUCAAUGGACGAGAGUCUGAACCAGCCAAGUAGCGUGCAGGAUGACGGCCCUAUGGGUUGUAAACUGCUUUUAUAAGGGAAUAAAGUGAGUCUCGUGAGACUUUUUGCAUGUACCUUAUGAAUAAGGACCGGCUAAUUCCGUG
rnacentral:rRNA from 1 species